rnacentral:rRNA from 1 species
GAUGAACGCUAGCGGCAGGCUUAAUACAUGCAAGUCGAGGGGUAGAGGAAGCUUGCUUCCUUGAGACCGGCGCACGGGCGCGUAACGCGUAUGCAAUCUACCUUAUACAGGGGAAUAGCCCAGAGAAAUUUGGAUUAAUGCCCCAUAGUGUUAUAGAAUCGCAUGGUUUUAUAACUAAAGUUCCAACGGUAUAAGAUGAGCAUGCGUCCCAUUAGUUAGUUGGUAAGGUAACGGCUUACCAAGACAAUGAUGGGUAGGGGUCCUGAGAGGGAGAUCCCCCACACUGGUACUGAGACACGGACCAGACUCCUACGGGAGGCAGCAGUGAGGAAUAUUGGUCAAUGGGCGCAAGCCUGAACCAGCCAUGCCGCGUGCAGGAAGACGGUCCUAUGGAUUGUAAACUGCUUUUAUACAGGAAGAAACCUCCCUACGUGUAGGGACUUGACGGUACUGUAGGAAUAAGGAUCGGCUAACUCCGUG